rnacentral:lncRNA from 1 species
UGGGGGUUUCUCCCUCCUAACCAUAUCAGUACUUUGCGGUGCUAUCGAGGCAUACUGAGGAAUUGAAGGAGGUGGGGGAGGUGGAUUGUUCGGGUUCGCAUGAACAAACACUGUGUACCAAGAUCCAUUAUCUGGAGGUAGGCUUCUCUAGCCCUUCCGCCUAGGCCCAUAGUCACGGGCUCACUCUCAACCGGCGCGGUCCCUUCGGCAGUAGCCGAUGUAUUACUCUCC